UACGUAGGGGGCAAGCGUUGUCCGGAAUCAUUGGGCGUAAAGAGCGUGUAGGCGGUCCGGUAAGUCCGCUGUGAAAGUCGAGGGCUCAACCCUCGAAUGCCGGUGGAUACUGUCGGGCUAGAGUGCGGAAGAGGCGAGUGGAAUUCCUGGUGUAGCGGUGAAAUGCGCAGAUAUCAGGAGGAACACCUAUUGCGAAGGCAGCUCGCUGGGACGUUACCGACGCUGAGACGCGAAAGCGUGGGGAGCAAACAGG
rnacentral:rRNA from 1 species